ACAAGCUAGAUAAGGGCGUAUGGGGAAUGCCUAGGCUCUCAGAGGCGAUGAAGGACGCGAUAAGCUGCGAAAAGCUGUGGGGAGGUGCACAUAACUUGUGAUCCGCAGAUAUCCGAAUGGGGCAACCCACUAUAUUGAAGGUAUAGUAUCCCGUAAGGGAAGUGAACCCGGUGAACUGAAACAUCUAAGUAGCCGGAGGAAGAGAAAACAAAAGUGAUUCCGGGAGUAGUGGCGAGCGAAACCGGAUUAGCCCAAACCAGUGUUGUUUCGGCAAUACUGGGGUUGUAGGACCACGACAUUGAUUGCGUAAUGAAUUAGAACACUUUGGAAAGAGUGACCGAAGAGGGUGAUAGUCCCGUACAAGUAAAGAGCGUUAAUUAUAGUGGUAUCCUGAGUAGUGCGGGGCACGUGAAACCCUGUAUGAAUCAAGCGGGACCAUCCGUUAAGGCUAAAUACUCCUGAGAGACCGAUAGUGAACCAGUACCGUGAGGGAAAGGUGAAAAGAACCCUGAAUAAGGGAGUGAAAAAGAUCCUGAAACCAUACGCCUACAAGCGGUCGGAGCCCUUUGGGGUGACGGCGUGCCUUUUGCAUAAUGAGCCUACGAGUUACCGUUUCUAGCAAGGUUAAGCACUUCAGGUGCGGAUCCGUAGCGAAAGCGAGUCUGAAUAGGGCGACCAUAGUUAGUAGUAGUAGACGCGAAACCGUGUGAUCUACCCAUGGGCAGGUUGAAGCUUUGUUAACCCAAAGUGGAGGACCGAACCCGUUGACGUUGAAAAGUCUUGGGAUGACCUGUGGGUAGGGGUGAAAGGCCAAUCAAACUCGGAAAUAGCUCGUACUCCCCGAAAUGCAUUUAGGUGCAGCGUUUAACUAGUUUUAUAGAGGUAGAGCUACUGAUUGGAUGCGGGGGCUUCACCGCCUACCAAUUCCUGACAAACUCCGAAUGCUAUAAAAUGUUGUUGAGCAGUGAGGGCAUGGGUGCUAAGGUCCAUGUCCGAGAGGGAAAGAACCCAGAUCAUCAGCUAAGGUCCCCAAGUGUAUGCUAAGUUGACAAAACGCGGUAAAACUGCAUUGACAGCCAGGAUGUUGGCUUGGAAGCAGCCAUUCAUUUAAAGAGUGCGUAACAGCUCACUGGUCGAGCGGUUUUGCAUGGAUAAUAAUCGGGCAUAAGUAUACCACCGAAGCUAUGACUUUGUCUUAUGACAAGGGGUAGGGGAGCAUUCUAUGGGCAUUGAAGGUGCUGGCGUGAGCCGUGCUGGAGCGCAUAGAAACGAAAAUGUAGGCAUAAGUAACGAUAAUGCGGGCGAGAAACCCGCACGCCGAAAGACCAAGGUUUCCCCAGCUAUGCUAAUCAGCUGGGGGUCAGUCGGGACCUAACGCGAACCCGAACGGGGUAGUGGAUGGACAAUCAGUUAAUAUUCUGAUACCUGCUCACAUUAAAAGUGACGGGGAUGAGGCGUUGGUGCGAAGAGACGGAAUUCUUCGUUGAAGGUAGCGGAAGCUACUGAUAGUACACUGAGGCUUCGGCCAAGGUGAUAAUCCAGCUUAUCAUCCUCCAAGAAAAACAAGUGAAGCAGCCCGUACCGUAAACCGACACAGGUGGUUGGGAUGAGUAUUCUAAGGCGCUCGAGAGAUUCAUGGCUAAGGAACUAGGCAAAAUAGACCCGUAACUUCGGGAGAAGGGUCGCCCCCUUAUGGGGGGCCGCAGUGAAGAGGUCCAGGCGACUGUUUAUCAAAAACACAGGGCUCUGCUAAAUCGAAAGAUGACGUAUAGGGCCUGACACCUGCCCGGUGCUGGAAGGUUAAGAGGAGAUGUUAUUUUUCGGAAGAAGCAUUGAAUUGAAGCCCCAGUAAACGGCGGCCGUAACUAUAACGGUCCUAAGGUAGCGAAAUUCCUUGUCGGGUAAGUUCCGACCUGCACGAAUGGUGCAACGAUCUGGACACUGUCUCGGCCAUGAGCUCGGUGAAAUUGUAGUAACGGUGAAGAUGCCGUUUACCCGCAGUGG
rnacentral:rRNA from 1 species